rnacentral:lncRNA from 1 species
GGCAGCCUUUUUACUCUGGGCUGAGAGCACGCAUAGCAAUGGUACUCUGAGUUCCUCUCGUUAGGUGGUUUGAAGCAGCUCCAGCAGCAGGCAGCACUGCUGCUACACAUCGUAUAGGAACACGUGCCUGCAAAUACAGAGCUGAAGCUAGCUGCUAAUUACAAAGACUAAGAACCCUCUCUGCUGACAUUGCUGCAGACAGAUUCACAGACUCCUGGCUUCCAGGGAAUACUGAGAUCU